GCAGUCGUGGCCGAGUGGUUAAGGCGAUGGACCAGAAAUCCAUUGGGGUCUCCCCACACAGGUUCAAAUCCUGUCGACUGCG
rnacentral:tRNA from 1 species